CAUGCAAGUCGAACGGAAAGGCCCCUUCGGGGGUACCCGAGUGGCGAACGGGUGAGUAACACGUGGGUGAUCUGCCCUGCACUUUGGGAUAAGCCUGGGAAACUGGGUCUAAUACCGAAUACACCUCAUGGGAUGCAUGUUUUGUGGGGGAAAGCUUUUGCGGUGUGGGAUGGGCCCGCGGCCUAUCAGCUUGUUGGUGAGGUUACGGCUCACCAAGGCGACGACGGGUAGCCGGCCUGAGAGGGUGUCCGGCCACACUGGGACUGAGAUACGGCCCAGACUCCUACGGGAGGCAGCAGUGGGGAAUAUUGCACAAUGGGCGCAAGCCUGAUGCAGCGACGCCGCGUGAGGGAUGACGGCCUUCGGGUUGUAAACCUCUUUCGCCAGGGACGAAGCGCAAGUGACGGUACCUGGAGAAGAAGCACCGGCCAACUACGUGCCAGCAGCCGCGGUAAUACGUAGGGUGCGAGCGUUGUCCGGAAUUACUGGGCGUAAAGAGCUCGUAGGUGGUUUGUCGCGUUAUUGGUGAAAACUCACA
rnacentral:rRNA from 1 species